AUUUGUAGAAGGAAGGAUACAGUCAUUCCCAGGAAAAAGGGCCUUCCCUUUCAGCAACUCUGCCAUGAUGCAUCCAACUGACCAAAUGUCAACUGUCAAAACACAAAAGAAGAAGCGAGGAGGUUGGGAGUGCAAUGGGCAUGACAAAGCUCUUCCCAUCCAAGCCCUUAUUUCAUAGCACAACACAAAGAAGGAGUUAAUUAAGACUGAUAGUUCAAGCUGCUCAGGGGAUAGCAUCAGUCACCCCCAAGAAAGAACCCAAGGUGGCAUACAUGUGGCUCCCAGGUGGUCUCCCAUCCAGGCACUGACCAAAGCCAGACCUACUUAGGUUCAGCAAAGUGAUGACCCCAUGUGCCUUCAGACCAUAGCCUGGGAUAAUUGUGAUUACUGGAUCUGAUACAGCCAAAAUUAAGUACUUGAAGGUUCUGUAGACUUCAACAGAAAAUAGAUAAGCACAUGCUUAACUGUUCCAUUGAAAUAAACGAGAUUUAGA